rnacentral:lncRNA from 10 species
GUAGAUCAGAGGCAAAAAUUUCCUCUUGUGUCCUUAUUUUUGUUUCCUCUGUUGUUCUUGGAUUUCCCUAGAGAUUUCUUCUAAAUAAGGCCUGAGAUAUUCAGAUUACAGCUGUAAUUCCCUGUUGUUAUACAGAAGCCCUGUUGAUGCAGUGGUAAGGUGUGGAAAAGAAGUUUUCUAUAGUCCUAGGAUUAGUUCUCAGUCUUUUAGAGAGCCUGUGCCCCUGGGCUGUCAUCUUCACAUAUGCUUCUCAGUUGCCCUCCCUCUCCCAGUGAAAUCCGAGGCUAGUAGAAGCUAAAUUCAGGUGUUUCCCUUCCUCUAGAUUGGUUAGACUCUGGUAAAAUAAUUUGCCUUGAAGGCAGGCCUUGUUAAAAAGAACAGAAUGUUCUGGACAUAUUUAAAAAUGGCUACUUUCUCCCUCCCUGUGUCAGAAGCAUGAAGAGAUUUUCUUCCUACACUCACGAUGAGAACCUGGUGGAGCUCCUAAAGAUUGGCUCUCCUGAUGGUUGCACGAUGGCUGCAGCAGUUCCAGAUGUCCCAUCGAGACACAAAAAGAUCCCAGAUGGAAGAUGCCAUCUCCUCCUAUGUGCCUCUUUUUAAGAGUUACACAGGAGUGAGGAGGACCACCAAACCAAACUAAGACUCGGAGGAAAAAAAAAAAAGAAAAAGAAGAAAAUGUCUGCUAGGUGCCAUGCCACUCAAACAGCCAAUGGAAAGGCCCACGUGGCGAGAGCUAAGGCUUCCUGCCAACAGGCAAGUGAGGAAGCCCAGUCAGCUGCCUGCAGUCCUGACCCAUGAAGAGCCUGACUGAAAGUGAAUGAGCAACCCUGAGCUAGGACAACCCAGCAAGGCCCAUCCUGAAUUCCUGCCCACAAAAACUCUGAGACAGUAAAUGUUCGUUGUUUUAAACCACAAAGUUUUGAAGUAAUAGAUUAAUUAGGUAACCAAUUGGGACUGCAGUAUUCCUUCAGGGAACUUGAAUAGUCAUUCUGUAUAUGGAAAUUGUACACAUCUUAAAAUUGCUGGACUAAAGUGAGAAGAGACUGUCUUGAGUCAACUGGAUAAAGUGGAAAAAAAAUUAAUUUGGAAAUCAAUAGAAUUCUGGCCUUGGCUUUGUCACUAAGAAACACUUAUAAGUAAUUUCACUUCUCUUGAAAUUAUGAUCAUUAUCUAUAACAUAAAGGAACUGAGCUAAAUGUUAUCUGAUGCCUCUUUAGGCUCUCAAACUCCAUAGAUUUAUGACAUGCUUGAAAUUCACUUUGUUUCACCCUAAUUCAGAGCUUUGUUUCACUAGCUCUAGAAUUAGAUGCCUUGGGUUUAAAUUGCAAUUCAGUCACUUAUUUAAAUAAUUGUACUUGGAUGAGUGAUGUUGCCAUUUUAAGCCUCAGUUUCCCCAUAGAUUCAUUGAGAAGAUCAAAUAAGAUGAUGCAGAUAAAGCUCUUAGUUUGUGGGGACACUUAGUAAGUGCUUAAUAAAUACAGGCAGUUGUGUUAUCUAUGUUGUAGCAGCACAUUUUGUAAAAUAAAACAAAGUUGAAAUCACAGAUCUAUAUUUUUAUGUACUCUGUUGACAGUUUAGAGCUUAUUUGGCUUUUAACAUUUUUAUUAUUGUUUUGUUUAUUUAUCAUUAUUAUUAUUUUUUGAGACGGAGUCUUGCUCUGUCGCCUAGGCUGGAGUACAGUGGCGUGGUCUCUGCUCACUGCAACCCCCGCCUUCUGAGUUCAAGCUAUUCUCCUGCUUCAGCCUCUCCAGUAGCUGGGAUUACAGGCACGCGCCACCAGGCCCGGAUAAUUUUUGUAUUUUUAGUAGAGACAGGGUUUCACCAUGUUGGCCAGUCUGGUCUCGAACUCCUGACCUUGUGAUCUGCCCGCCUCAGCCUCCCAAAGUGCUGGGAUUAUAAGCAUGAGCCACUCCACCUGGCCUAUUAUCAUUUUUUGAGAUGGGGGCCUCUCUCCGUUGCUCAGGCUGAAGGACAGUAGCAUGAUCAUUGUUCACUGUAACCUUGAACUCAUGGGCUCAAAUAGUCCUCCCAACUCAGCCUCUUGAGUAGCUGGGACUACAGGUGCACAACACCAUGCCUAUCUUAACCUUUUAGAUUUUUUUUAUAGAGAUGGGGUCUUACAGUAUUGCUCAGGGUGGUCUUAAACUCCUGGCCUCAAGUGAUCCUUCCGCCUCAGCCUCCCAAAGUGCUGGGGUUAUAGGCAUGAGCCACCAUGCCCUGUUCGCUUUUAUAUAAUCAGUAUGUAAAGUGCAUUUUAUAGGGACUUGAAGCACACUUUUAUAAUUUUAAAAAUUGUAGAAAUUCAUAUGUGAAGUUUUGCCUUAUAAUGUAUUGUUGGUCAUACCCUGGAUCAGGAAGCCAACCCCAAAUUACAAUCUCAUUCCUACAAGAAGGUACAGUCUGCUGUAUGAAGAUCUAUUUUUACAUGUGUUUCUAGGAAUGCUUUGCAGCGGAGUUAGGUGGCCUAGACUUUCUUGAUUCUCCUGCAGAGCACAGCCUGCUGUAAAUACUCCAUUUUAUUUGCUUAAGCUUGGUUUGUUUUUGUUUUUGCCUUUUUUUAGUGUAAGAUAAAUAGAAAUCUAAGUCAGUUUCUGAUUGUGCCUAAUGGUCUGUUCUUUAAAAAUUGAGAUCAUUGUCCAACAGACACUCAGAUCUGGUUCGGCCGGUUUGGAAGUCUUUCUCUUCAGGUCUCUCUAACUCUUAGCAGUCCUCUGACAGGUUGCUGCCUUCCUCAUUUACAUCCAUAAUGCUAAGUUCCCUUUGGUCCAGGUCAGUAUUCUGGGAUGUUUCCAGAAUCAAUAUCUGAUGUUUCUAUUUGCUCUGGCACCUGCCAGUUUACUUGGGUAGGCCUCCAGUGUGGAACAGAACUAGAAUAUUGUGAGUUAUCCAUUUUUCUGCUGUACAGCCAGGGUCACCUGAGGCUGUAGACUGACUCUCCAGCUGGAAAAACAGAGUAUUCUGGACAAAUUCUUUGCCAAUGGCCAUGUGGUAGGCCUGGCGAUUGAGAGUCAAAAGAGUCCAAUUUCCUGUGCUCUCAGGUUUUGAAUUUUUAAAUAAAGCAUUGUUUUGUGUGCUAAAAUUUUAAAAUAUAAAGUAAGUUUUGUUGUUUCUUUUUUCUGUGAUUUUUUGCUGCCAUCUAUUCCCUUAUAGCCACAAAGCAGCUAUUCGGAAGCCUAUUGUUCUC